rnacentral:lncRNA from 1 species
GAGUUGUACUAAUGCAAGAUGAACACCAUAUAUCCUAUAUAAGCAACGCAUUGAGUCCUAAACAUUUAACAUUCUCAGUAUAUCAGAAUGAAAUGUUGGCCAUUGUGACAACUAUUGAUAAGUGGAGACCUUACAUUAUUGGAUGACACUUUGUAAUCAAAUCAGAUCAUCAACCUCUCAAGUACCUGUUAAAACAAAGAAUAUCCACUCCUAGUCAGCAGAAGUGGGUGGCAAAGCUUAUGGUCUAUGAUUAUAUUAUACUGUAUAAAAAGGGGAUGAAAAAUAUAGCUGCAGAUACCUUAUCUAGGAGUCUAAUAGCUGGGGCU